rnacentral:lncRNA from 1 species
AAUGUUAUAUAUCCAUAUUAUAAAAUAUUAUGUUAAAACUUGCUUAACAUUUGAAGAAUAUUCUAACGCUUAUGUAAUUUUUAAUAUUUGUAAAUUUUCUACCUUUUAAUUCGUUAUAUAGAUUAUAAAGGGCUUCAUGAUAAGAUCAUGUGAUCUUCUGGAAGUCCUACCAGUAAUAUAUUCAAUGUAAAUUUAACUUGUACAUAUUUUUCUGGGAAAAAAACUUGUUAAAUUAAAUUAAAUUAAGAACAUUUCUAACACUCUGAACAUUGCAUGAUUUACUUACAACUAAAUUAAGUUUAUGGCAUACACAAUGAACAAAAAUAGCCUUUGUAUUGAUAAAUUUAAUUCUUGAUUAAAUACCUUUUGAUUUACUAGAUAUUGCUCCAGCACCAUCAUAUACUUGACCUCUAAAUUUUUGGAUAUCAAGACCAAGAUCAUCAAUUGCAGAUAUUAUGUUUUGCGCAAGACUAAGACCAGUUGUAUCAGAUUUACAUUCAAUAAACCGUAGAAAGUCUUAACAAAUAAAAUUAUCACAGUCAAUGUAUCUUAUAACUAGAGAUAACUGUUUAACAUUAGAACAAUCAAAGGCUCCAUCACAAAAGAUAGAAAAGAGCAGAACGAAUAUGGUGCUCAAGAACUUUAUCACUUGCUUCACUACAAAAAUUUAAAAGCUCUACAAAGUUAUUUAUACCAAUGUUGUCUUUACAUGUUUCUCCGAUCUCUGGAUGAUAUUUACUGUCAUCAAGAUGACCUCGAAUUAUUGCAAUAUUAUUGUGGCCAAGAAAAAUAAUUAUCUUUAUAAUUGGAAUUUAUUUAUUUCAAUUAAUUAUAAUAAGUUUUUUUCUAAGAUUGAUGUCAAAUUCAAACAACAGUUUUUUUAUAGUUUCAUUAUAACUACAUAGGUAAAACUGGGUUUUUAUUUUCCUCAGCCAGUUGACGCUUUGCCCAAAACAGUCGUUCAAAGCAAUUGCAAAAAAUAUGGGUUGAACACUUCAGAUGAUGAACCUUCCAACAUCACUGCUCUGGAUAAUAACCUCAAUGUUUCUUAUCAAAUUCAUAAUGAAAUUAGUGAAUUUGAAACUUUAUCUGAUAACGAUUCAGAUUAAAGUGAUAAGAAUAUUGUAAUAGAUGAACUAGAGGGUGAUUUAGCAUUUUGAUCUUCUCAGCAUAAUAUCACACAAGAAUUCACUGAUUUAAUUUGCUGAUCUAUGACCAGAGCUGCUUAAAUGUUAAUGCAUCCUAAAAUUUUAUUCAAAUUUGUGUUUUUUAUGUAUUUAAAUAAAAUUCAUUAUAGGUAUGUAUUUUUUAUGCUAUAUUUUGUAUGAUCUCAUCAUCAUUGUCAUCAUCCCCCACCUUUAUUUUUCUUUAUUCUAUAUAUUUAUUCAACCUUAGUUAUAUUUUUUUAUAAUUUCUUUAUUAUUAAUUUGGCGUUGAGUAAAACAAGUACUUCACUAAGUUUUAAUUAUUAUUUGUUGACUAAAGUAUACACUUAUUAACUCCGUUAAUGUUUAGCCUUAAAAUUAUUUUUACUGAACAUUGUAAUAUCUUAAGGUAGUAUUUUGUAUUUCAUGUAUACUUUUUAAUGUAUACUUUAAGGUGUUUAUAAUAUACCAUAAAAAUUUCUAUAAACUAUAUUUUAACAUUAGAUUUAUAUGUUUAGAGUACAGAAGUAACCUGAUGAAAAUUAUGAUAGUGACUUACAAGAUUUUAAUGAACAUCAAGAAUUAAAAAAGUCUUGUCUGCAGACACCUGUCUCUGUAUUAAACAAAAGUAAAACGAGAUUGGAAAAAGUGAUCAUAAUUACCUCUAUGAUUAAGGUGAAGGGAGUAGCAGCAAAAAAGAAAGUAGCAAAAAAAGUCUUGUCUGCAGACACCUGUCUCUGUAUUGAAUAAAAGUAAAACAAGAUUGGAAAAAGUGAUCAUAAUUACCUCUAUGAUUAAGGUGAAGGGAGUAGCAGCAAAAAAGAAAGUAGCAAAAAAAGUCUUGUCUGCAGACACCUGUCUCUGUAUUGAAUAAAAGUAAAACAAGAUUGGAAAAAGUGAUCAUAAUUACCUCUAUGAUUAAGGUGAAGGGAGUAGCAGCAAAAAAGAAAGUAGCAAAAAAAGUCUUGUCUGCGGACACCUGUCUCUGUAUUGAAUAAAAGUAAAACAAGAUUGGAAAAAGUGAUCAUAAUUACCUCUAUGAUUAAGGUGAAGGGAGUAGCAGCAAAAAAGAAAGUAGCAAAAAAAGUCUUGUCUGCAGACACCUGUCUCUGUAUUGAAUAAAAGUAAAACAAGAUUGGAAAAAGUGAUCAUAAUUACCUCUAUGAUUAAGGUGAAGGGAGUAGCAGCAAAAAAGAAAGUAGCAAAAAAAGUCUUGUCUGCAGACACCUGUCUCUGUAUUGAAUAAAAGUAAAACAAGAUUGGAAAAAGUGAUCAUAAUUACCUCUGUGAUUAAGAACCGAGUUCCACAAGCGUGGUCCCCGACAUGUAAUUGAGAAGUCAGACUUUUUGA